rnacentral:misc_RNA from 1 species
GGACUAUUGACAUAGAGAAUCUCAUUUCAUGAGUACCAUCUUCAGGUCAAAUAUAUUCACAACUCAACAAGAAAACCAACUAAAAAACAUUGAAAAUGACCACGGGUAUCUGUGCAUGAACGGACAGAUUCCUAUAAAAGCUUAUAAAUUUUGAUUUUUGCAUAUACAAGCCACUAAGUAAAAAAAGUUAAUACAGUCCUGAGUACAAGCUUACAAAAGCCUUAUGGUAAUCAUUCCCAUGGGAUUAGCGGGUGCAAGGCUUCCUAGAGAUCCAUUGAAACUGUGAAACCAUUACAUUGUAUACAAUGUUAGUGACAUCACAACAGCAGCAUCCAUAUAUUAGCCGUUAAAAUUUUCAGUUUCAGGUUUUUGACACCUGCCUGACCCCUUGACUAGGAAAACAAAAAAUUCUGAACCACCUGUGAGCCUUUAGCACUUUGAGUUUGAGAUUCAACGAAGAAAAUAGAAAGAUGAACCAUGGCAGCAUAUAAUGAGUGAAACUAUCUAUAUUCUGAUAACAUAGGGAGAUUUGCACAAUCAAUUAUAAAGGUAAGACCAAACACUUCAGGACAGUGGGUCAGAAAACUGGCAAAACCAUUGAACAGUACCCCCUCCACUUUCCAUGGGAAAGCUUCCAUUGCAGGAGCUUAGCAUUCAUAAAUGUUUAUUGCCGAUGCAGUUUCAAACCCAUGAGGUUCAUGAGCAGUGAUGCUGCUAUAGAGUUAUUGUCUUUUGAUCUUGAUUCCUUUGACUUUAUUCCUUGAAAAUGUCUUGGGAUGGAGGUCUAUUCUCAAGUUGAUGAUUCAACAUAAAAACUUUAAUUCAAGUGACGUUUUGUGCUUCAAAAGCCACCUUAUAAGAUAAUGUUUUCAGGAUGCUGUGCUACACCACAUACAAAGAGUUCCAACAACUCUUCUAGCCUAUUUAUUUGCAAAUAAAAAGCUUCCUCGUUCACUCAUCAACCACACCAUAAUCAAGGCUAAGCUUCCUCAAAGGAGGAAUGUUCUCCAUUGCAAAGAGCAUGAGGUGAGGGAACAUCAAAUUAUUGUGAUCAUACAAUACAAACUGCACCAGCACAUUUGGAGUUGAACUGUGGCUCACAUAAGAAGCAACAUUCCUCAUUCUCGACACAUCCAAUGCAAAAUCCAAAGGUGGAAUAGAUGGAUAAGAUGGACACACAUAACCAGGAUAUAUCUUAGAUAAAUUCCCCCAUUCAACCCACUUUUGAGAAAAUCUACUUGGAUAAAUCAAAUUAUCGCCAUUCAUUGUGAAAACCUCAGCUUGCUCUCUUGUAAGAACAACCCCUGCAUAUUCACAUAUAAAUGCACCAGCAUGUAUCAAAUCCAAUGACCUAACUCCCCAACCUUUCUCCCUUGACCUAAAGAUCUCCAGUCUAUUUUUCAACCCCUUUUGAGUUACACGGUUCCGGCAACUUAGUGGGCACCUACAAAAAGCUCCACAUUCAAAUACUAUCGGUUUCCCUCUCAAUAAGAAACCAUUCUGAUCAUAAGCAAACUCUCCCCCAUUCUUCCUCGAGCAAAAACAACCAUCAAUACAACCUGAAACACACUCACACCCUGUCCCGUUACUUACAUGAUUAAAUGCAAAGGAUGGAAACACUGUCCUCACCAGAUACUCAUAACACAGAGGAUCAUGAUGAUUAUCAAUAUCAUUAAACAACAUCACUGGCAUAUUCUCCUUCUUAUUGGAAAUAUCAAGACUAAGAUAACCCGUAGGCCUCGCACUCAAUGGACUAGUCCUCAAACUCUGUGCAAACCUCAAAAUGGAACUACCCAUUUCCGGUUGCCCUUCAAUCCUCAACAGCUUAUACUUGUAAACGCCAAACCCAGAUCUCCCCACAUCAAACCAACAAUCAUGAAUUUUAUACAAACCAUCAUAAACGUAAAUCUUAUUAAAACUCCUUGCAUAUUUAAAACCUCUAAUCACUCUUACCUCAAUCCCAUAAUGCAUACUCCUCUCCAACGCUAAAUUCCCUCCUUCCAGCUUCUGGUGCAUACAUUGCCUCGAAAACUUGUCCUGUCCACCGUGCCCCGUGUAGAUUAACAUAUCUCCAGAGUCCUCAUCGUCCUCAUAGCCGCCCGAAACUAUAAUGCUUGUCGCAAUGGGCUCCCUAUUGGAGCUCUGGCUUGCCGGAAGGUAAUCAAUUCCUGCUUGGACUUGGCCAUGGAGUCCAACCACGCACAAUUCCAUCCGGAAAAAGAAGAGAUCCCCAACUUCAACUCCAGGGAUGGACCCCACGAUCCGCUUAUCGCGGUUGAGCCAAAGCCCGCGUUCACGCAUCAAGGAGGCGGCGAGGAGAUCGCCACGGGCCCGGCGGCCGAGGCUCUCGCCACGGCGUUUCUCUUCCUCCAAGACGGAGAAGAUGCGGAGGGCAUCAUAUAGCAUACGGGUUCGACGACAGACGUCUCGGAAAUACCGCUGGUCCUCGAUUCCCAGGUCGGUCACGCGGACAAGCUCCGAAGAGCGCUUCGGGUAUCGGCGAGGAGGCCGGGUGACGACAACGGAGGAGAGACUACUGUCUUCAUUGACAGGGACGAUCGCGCGAGAAUCUGGGUCCAACACCGAAACGUCGCCGUACUGCUGCUGCAAGCGUUUGGCGAACGCAGUACGAAAAAGCUCGGAUAUUCUGUGGUAUUCGGAGUAGACAUUGUCUUCUUGGGAGGAAGAGAGGGCGGAGGAUUGGGAAGGAGGGGUAUGUUCGGAAUUAGAGAACAAGUUAGGGGUAAAUUCGGGAUACAAAGGGUCUUGAGGUUCUUGGGGCUGAGGUGUUUCAACUAGAUCGUCAAGCGGCUCAAGUUUAGGUUCAAUCUUUGGUAUUAAAAGAGGAGGCGGGGUAGGGACAGCAGCGUUGGUGGACAGCGGAGAUGAAGAUGGAGAUGGAGAGAGGUUGAGGUCCUGAAAUGGUACAGUAGAUCCCAUUUGCCCUAAUUUUGGUCUGCAGAUAGAAAUUGAAGGUCCAAAGAGAGAGGAAGAGCUAGCAUGAAAGUGGGUUUUUGUCAGGGUUUUUGCACAGAAGAGGAAGAGGGGGCUGAAGGUGUAUCCAUGGCGGAUUUUUCAAACGAAAUAGAAUUUGAUUUUGAAGGAUUUGUAUAAAAAUUUUGAAGGACAAUGGUUUGGAUUUAUUAUUUUAGUGCAU